rnacentral:rRNA from 1 species
UACGGAGGGGGCUAGCGUUGUUCGGAAUUACUGGGCGUAAAGCGCACGUAGGCGGAUCAGUAAGUUAGAGGUGAAAGCCCAGGGCUCAACCCUGGAACUGCCUUUGAUACUGCUUGGCUUGAGGUCCGGAGGGGUGAGUGGAAUUCCCGGUGGAGCGGUGAAAUGCGUAGAGAUCGGGAAGAACGCCGGCGGCGAAAGCGACUCACUGGUCGGAAUCUGACGCUGAGGUGCGAAAGCUAGGGGAGCAAACGGG